rfam:Alligator sinensis unplaced genomic scaffold scaffold131_1, whole genome shotgun sequence
GAGUUUAUUGAAGAGAGUGCAGGUGAGGAUUUCCCCAGCUAUGGACAGGAGUGCAAGACCACGACAAUUGCUGCAAGCUGUUCUAUCUCCUUUCCUGAAUAUGGUAACAAUUUUGG